UCCGUGAUGGUUACAUGUGGAAUUUAAAAAAAAAAAAGGUGACUAUUAGUUAUUUGCCUAUUUGCCAAAAAAUAUUAACGUUAAAUGAUAAAAUCGUUGACUGUUCCCUACUCGGCCUCAAUUAUAUCGAUGAGUACUGAAGAGAAAGUCCAAUAGUUUGAUGUAAUUGUAAAUAUAAAAUAAAGUAGUUAAUUGAAGUAAUGUGAAACGAUCGAGGAGCACUGCGUCACCUAAUCUAAUACUUUUGGAUGGUUUAUGAAGCUCAGCAGAAGUUUUUCAACGGUUCAGAUUCUCAAGCUAUAAAAAGUAUUUUACAAGUAAAAUGUAUAGACUUAUACUCUCUAUAACUAUAGAGAAAAAAUACAGAUCUGCUUCGUCAAACAAGUGGGGAUGCCAUCAUCAGUCUGAUAUUGCUGGGGGGUUUUGCUCUUGCCAAAGUUUCUUCUGAUAUGGACAGCCAUCGCUGCACUUGAUGAUAUGAGAGGAGAAAGAUCGAGGCUAAAAAUACAUCUCAUCGGGUGAUGGUUAAAACUGCUGAUCUCUCGGGUUUUACAUUAAGUACACGUUGCUGUAAUAAUUGUGUAUGAUAUUUCUUGUGUACAUCUGCAGUAAAGAAAUUUGUCAUUGUUGAUUAUUCACAUUCUUGGAUGUACUACUGCAAAUUGAUAUUGGAAGAUGAGCAUUUUAUAAGAUUGUUGGAGGUUGCACGCGUAGUUCGAGUUUUGCGACGGUAGUUUGUUUCAAAAGAAGUAAGUUAUAUGUCACGCAAUUGCAGAAGUAGGUAUACCACUCGAUGGU
rnacentral:lncRNA from 1 species